CCCGAAUUGCCAAUGUUGGUCGUCCGUUUGGCUGUGAAAGAUGUAUAAAUACGCAGUCACGUCUGGUCAGAAUGGGGACAUUAAAUCCGAUGCCUAGUUAUAGAGAGAAUGCAACUCGUUGAGGAGUUCGUAGUUAGUCUACUGAAAGGCAAAAUUUCUGCUCCUAUCCAAUAAUCCCUCAUUUUCCAAUGCAUGGCAUUUUUAAAUUUCAAGACCUUCGUCCUGGACGACACCUAUUACAGGACCUAGCUCCAAGUUGUAUUUAUUGUAAAAUAAUUUUUUUUCAACGGUCCUGAACUUGCAUACAUAUUUGACACUGGAUGUAAAAAAAUCAAUCAAUCAACUGGCUUCCAGUAAUUUUGAGUACUCUCAAAUCUGCGUGUAAUGGCCUGGCGGGCACAAUGAUUCAAAAUUCCUAAGCAGGUAUGGAUUUUACAGUAGAGGAUAUAAAGAAAUACGAAUUUCUUGAAUUUUGUUAGGCAUCGACUGUGUCUGUAUGUGUUUGUGUGGCGAGGGUGAAGGUUUAAGAUUCAAAAGAUUGAUGGUUGAUGUCUAGCCAAAAGGAUAGUUCUAUUAUAUAGUAUAGUAUCAGUGUUUACGUGCCUAU
rnacentral:lncRNA from 1 species